GGUUAAAGAUUGUCUUCACUUUCCUUUGCUGCACCCAAAUUGCUGCUUAAUUGCCCUAGCUUCACAAGAUUUGAUCUUUCUUCUCUUUCCCCCCCAUUUUGGUGUUGAAACUUUGCCCCAAAAAGUCAUCCAUCUUCUUUGCUAAUUUUAAGGUCAUGGUGCUGAAUCAGAGUAAUUUCUGGUAUUAAAAGUAAGUGCUGGAUUGGAACUUCCAAAAUUUGAUGAGAAAAACAAGAAUUUCUUCCCUUUUUGUGUCUUUAUUUUUUACGUCUUCACUACUCUAUUUCUCUCAAUUUCGUAUUGUAUUUUAAUUUAUAUUAUGUUCAUGCUUUUGGAUCAUUUAGUCGAUUUUGACUGGAAAAACCACUGCUAAUUCGACUUUAAUAUUGGUGUUAAGUGUUCUCCUUUUUAAUUUUUGACAGAGUAGUCUUCUUACACCAAAAUUUGGAAAUGCUCAGUAAAUAUUUCUAAUCUUCCUUCCAUCUCUUUUAUGCGUUUUGUCUAAUCGCGUUUGAUGUUUUCUCUAAUCCAUUCAUUAGAGCAUGUUUAUUGAAAUCUAAUAAUAUUCUUGGGUGUUCCGAUUUUUCUACAUUAUGGUUUACUAUUUUCUUUCAAGGGUAAAGUUCUGCCUUCCUUUGCACAUAACAUGUUUGGUGAAAGUUAUGUUCAAAUUGUUAGAGUAAUGAUCCAUUGAUUCGUAGUAUAUAUGUAGUCGACUUCUGUAACAUCAUAAAGUAAUGGAUUACAAGUGUCGGUGAAAGAAACAAAAGGAAAAUGACCUCUUCGACUACAAUUGAACAUAGAAUUAUUUCAAGUUGUGCUCAUAUACUUCACAUUGAUUGGUUUCCAUAUCUUCUAUGAGAUUGCUGGAGAUCUUGGUAAUUUGCAGUCUCUACUGCGAAGAGGAAAAAUGACUAUUUUGUGAACUCUCUUUGUUCAUGAUUAAUGUUUAUUUCAAUUUAAGACAAUAUUAGCUAUUCAUAGUCUCAUCAGCCUUUGCUACAAAGAUUGAAGCUUGAAUGGUUUGUCGCUCUUUAAGUUUUCACUUUCUUCUUUUGUUUAAUUCAAUGGACAACUCCCUAAGGAGCUCAAGAUAUUUAUUUUUUUUAGUUUUGACUCGAUAUUUGAACUUAAGAAUAACUUGUGUUGGUUCAUUGAUGUCAGAAAUAAUUGAAAUUCUUUGAACUUUAUUUCAGCCUUCCCAAACUAAAACAGAGGUGUACAACUACUAUAUUUGAUGUGGAGUAUCUUAAUUAGAUGUGUGUUUUUCUUUCAUAUAUGAAUCUUGAUAUUUAAGGUGCAGUUAUUUUGAAGUGUCGUGUCUUCAUUAUUCUUUGUAAUGAUUUUUCUUGGCUAUAGCUGGGAACUUUUCUUUGCAUGAAUUAGUGAAAAAUAUUGAUUAUUAAGUCUCUGUUUUAAGUUACAGUUCAUGUUGUAAAUCCUUCUACUGAUUACCAUUUUGUUGAAGUGCUUAGUUAUAACAGGGGACCUUAAUUUGGUAUGUAAGAUUUGAAGAAGAAAGAUGAGUUCAACCAUGCAGGGGUUGCUAUUGAAGAGAAAUACAAAUGACAUUUACCUGAGAAAAUUACUAAAUGAGGAGUAUGCAUAAGAGCAAUUUCAAGUUUAUCACCCUUCUAGCAUUGAUGUAAGUUGUUCUACUUGGAGUAAGUCAUUAGGUGCUAUCAGCAAGAAGCUAAUGAAUUUUUAAAUUUCCCAACUACCAUAAAAAAAAAAGCAAAAUCUUUCAGCUCUGGCAAUUUUGAGGCAUAUUUCAGAUCCUACAUUAACUACAUGUAAAAAAAGUACUACUCACUUAGCCUUGAAAUGAUAUGUAUUAUUGAUCAUGUUUUAUUUUUUUUGUACCCAGUAAUCAAGACUAUCAGUAAAUUAGAUGAAAUGAGAAAAAUAAGCUACAACAUGCUUUUAUCUGGCAAGAGACGCUCAAGUUAUUAAUGUUAGAGGAAAGAUUAAUGGCAGAGUGAAUCUGAGUCCAUAUACUCCAUCCCUCUGUAUCAUCAUCUUUGGUUUACCUAAAAGUGUUCAUUAUAGUUUUAUUAGAUUUAGAAAUUACAAUGUCCAAGUGCGGUAAUUUAUAUAGCACCAAGUGCUGACGAUUUUACUUGGUAAAACAAAGUACAAACUAAAGUUCUAAUCUUUAGCAGGACAAAGAAAAAUAUGUCCAUGAUAUCUUAAGAUUGCUUUCUAUUAAGAGUAGCCAAAGAGUAAAAGAAAAAAUAUGCCCAUGAUAUCAUAAGAUUGCUUUCUAUUAAGUAGCCAAAGAGUUGAUCCAAUUUUAUUUCCCUUUUUUUUGACCUAUUUUGGUCAAUAUAAACGUAAGUUCAAAGAUAAAUUCUCAUUCAUCUUUUUUCUUUCUAUUAAGAGUAGUCAAAGGUUCUUUUGGAUUAGUUAGAACAUGUAUGGCAAGUACAAUGAAAGUUAAAUGAUAAAAGAACUACUUUCUUCUAUCUAGAUCUUAUGAUAUUAUCAUGGGGAUAUAAAUUUUUAAUCUGCAGAAAUUGUGAAGAUCUUUCUUGACCAAUCCCUUUGACACUCAUUCUUCAAGGAAUAAGGAAGAGUAUUUUUAAGUUUGAAUUUGUUCAUUUAGAAUCUAAUUUCUUCUGCUUCAUAUUAAUUUAAUAUGAAUAUCAUCCCUCUCUUUUUUGUUGAUACAUUUAACAUAAACUUGCCCCACUAUUUCUGGUGUGUGGCCUUUUCAGUAAUUUGCAGGAAUAACAGAUUACAUUUUCUGGGCACUGAAUAGACAGGUUCUCAUAUGAAGUGAAAGGAUUCUUAGCUUUUGAUUUGUGAUGAACAUAAAUGAAAUA
rnacentral:lncRNA from 1 species